AAUUUGAAAGCUAGCCUUCGGGUUCGCAUUGUAAUUUGUAGAGGAUGAUUUGGGGAAGCCGCCUGUCUAAGUUCCUUGGAACAGGACGUCAUAGAGGGUGAGAAUCCCGUAUGUGACAGGAAAUGGCACCCUAUGUAAAUCUCCUUCGACGAGUCGAGUUGUUUGGGAAUGCAGCUCUAAAUGGGAGGUAAAUUUCUUCUAAAGCUAAAUAUUGGCGAGAGACCGAUAGCGCACAAGUAGAGUGAUCGAAAGAUGAAAAGCACUUUGGAAAGAGAGUUAAAAAGCACGUGAAAUUGUUGAAAGGGAAGCGCUUGCAAUCAGACUUGUUUAAACUGUUCGGCCGGUCUUCUGACCGGUUUACUCAGUUUGGACAGGCCAGCAUCAGUUUCGGCGGCCGGAUAAAGGCUCUGGGAAUGUGGCCUCCACUUCGGUGGAGGUGUUAUAGCCCAGGGUGUAAUACGGCCAGCCGGGACUGAGGUCCGCGCUUCGGCUAGGAUGCUGGCGUAAUGGUUGUAAGCGACCCGU
rnacentral:rRNA from 1 species